rnacentral:misc_RNA from 1 species
UCCGGGUUGGUCCCGGCGGUCCGAGCAGACAGCGUAACUGCUCGCGGGGGUUGCGCUCGUUGCGGGACUUAACCCAACACCUCACGGCACGAGCUGACGACAGCCGUGCAGCACCUGUGCACGCUCCCUCGCGGGUCCCUUCCCUUUCGGGUCGGUACCACGUGCAUGUCAAGCCCGGGUAAGGUUCUUCGCGUUGCAUCGAAUUAAACCACACGCUCCGCUGCUUGUGCGGGCCCCCGUCAAUUCCUUUGAGUUUUAGCCUUGCGGCCGUAGUCCCCAGGCGGGGCACUUAUUGCGUUGGCUGCGGCACCGGGGGGGUCGAUACCCCCGACACCUAGUGCCCAUCGUUUACGGCGUGGACUAC